rnacentral:rRNA from 1 species
CCGAAUUCUUCCACAACAGAGUUUGAUCCUGGCUCAGAUUGAACGCUGGCGGCAGGCCUAUUACAUGCCAGUCGAGCGGAUGAUGGGAGCUUGCUCCCGGAUUCAGCGGCGGACGGGUGAGUAAUGCCUAGGAAUCUGCCUGGUAGUGGGGGACAACGUUUCGAAAGGAACGCUAAUACCGCAUACGUCCUACGGGAGAAAGCAGGGGACCUUCGGGCCUUGCGCUAUCAGAUGAGCCUAGGUCGGAUUAGCUAGUUGGUGGGGUAAAGGCCUACCAAGGCGACGAUCCGUAACUGGUCUGAGAGGAUGAUCAGUCACACUGGAACUGAGACACGGUCCAGACUCCUACGGGAGGCAGCAGUGGGGAAUAUUGGACAAUGGGCGAAAGCCUGAUCCAGCCAUGCCGCGUGUGUGAAGAAGGUCUUCGGAUUGUAAAGCACUUUAAGUUGGGAGGAAGGGCAGUAAGUUAAUACCUUGCUGUUUUGACGUUACCAACAGAAUAAGCACCGGCUAACUUCGUGCCAGCAGCCGCGGUAAUACGAAGGGUGCAAGCGUUAAUCGGAAUUACUGGGCGUAAAGCGCGCGUAGGUGGUUUGGUAAGAUGGAUGUGAAAUCCCCGGGCUCAACCUGGGGACUGCAUCCAUAACUGCCUGACUAGAGUACGGUAGAGGGUGGCGGAAUUUCCUGUGUAGCGGUGAAAUGCGUAGAUAUAGGGAAGGAACACCAGUGGCGAAAGCGAUCACCUGGACUGAUACUGACACUGAGG